AGAGGUUUAACUACACUAAUAUAGAGCGUCUUUUAGUAAAGGUUUGUUGUUGAUUUGUUUCUACUUACACGAGAUGUCUUCAUUUUACCCUCAGUCUUGAAAUAAAAUUUUGGUGCAUGUUCA
rnacentral:lncRNA from 1 species